GAUCCCUGCUGGCGGUUGUGGUGCUGCUUGCGCUGCCGGUGGCCUGGGGUCAAUGCAAUGCCCCAGAAUGGCUUCCAUUUGCCAGGCCUACCAACCUAACUGAUGAGUUUGAGUUUCCCAUUGGGACAUAUCUGAACUAUGAAUGCCGCCCUGGUUAUUAUGGAAGACCGUUUUCUAUCAUCUGCCUAAAAAACUCAGUCUGGACUGGUGCUAAGGACAGGUGCAGACGUAAAUCAUGUCGUAAUCCUCCAGAUCCUGUGAAUGGCAUGGUGCAUGUGAUCAAAGACAUCCAAUUCGGAUCCCAAAUUAAAUAUUCUUGUACUAAAGGAUACCGACUCAUUGGUUCCUCGUCUGCCACAUGCAUCAUCUCAGGUGAUACUGUCAUUUGGGAUAAUGAAACACCUAUUUGUGACAGAAUUCCUUGUGGGCUACCCCCCACCAUCACCAAUGGAGAUUUCAUUAGCACCAACAGAGAGAAUUUUCACUAUGGAUCAGUGGUGACCUACCGCUGCAAUCCUGGAAGCGGAGGGAGAAAGGUGUUUGAGCUUGUGGGUGAGCCCUCCAUAUACUGCACCAGCAAUGACGAUCAAGUGGGCAUCUGGAGCGGCCCGGCACCUCAGUGCAUUAUACCUAACAAAUGCACGCCUCCAAAUGUGGAAAAUGGAAUAUUGGUAUCUGACAACAGAAGCUUAUUUUCCUUAAAUGAAGUUGUGGAGUUUAGGUGUCAGCCUGGCUUUGUCAUGAAAGGACCCCCCCGUGUGAAGUGCCAGGCCCUGAACAAAUGGGAGCCGGAGCUACCAAGCUGCUCCAGGGUAUGUCAGCCACCUCCAGAUGUCCUGCAUGCUGAGCGUACCCAAAGGGACAAGGACAACUUUUCACCCGGGCAGGAGGUGUUCUACAGCUGUGAGCCCGGCUACGACCUCAGAGGGGCUGCGUCUCUGCGCUGCACACCCCAGGGAGACUGGAGCCCUGCAACCCCCACAUGUGAAGUGAAAUCCUGUGAUGGCUUCAUGGGCCAACUUCUUAAUGGCCGUGUGCUAUUUCCAGUAAAUCUCCAGCUUGGAGCAAAAGUGGAUUUUGUUUGUGAUGAAGGAUUUCAAUUAAAAGGCAGCUCUGCUAGUUACUGUGUCUUGGCUGGAAUGGAAAGCCUUUGGAAUAGCAGUGUUCCAGUGUGUGAACAAAUCUUUUGUCCAAGUCCUCCAGUUAUUCCUAACGGGAGACACACAGGAAAACCUCUGGAAGUCUUUCCCUUUGGAAAAGCAGUAAAUUACACAUGCGACCCCCACCCAGACAGAGGGACGACCUUCGACCUCAUUGGAGAGAGCACCAUCCGCUGCACAAGUGACCCUCAAGGGAAUGGGGUUUGGAGCAGCCCUGCCCCUCGCUGUGGAAUUCUGGGUCACUGUCAAGCCCCGGAUCAUUUUCUGUUUGCUAAGCUCAAAACACAAACCAAUGCAUCUGACUUUCCCAUUGGGACAUCUUUAAAGUAUGAAUGCCGUCCUGAGUACUACGGGAGGCCAUUCUCUAUCACAUGUCUAGAUAACCUGGUCUGGUCCAGUCCCAAAGAUGUCUGUAGACGUAAAUCAUGUAAAACUCCUCCAGAUCCAGUGAAUGGCAUGGUGCAUGUGAUCACAGACAUCCAGGUUGGAUCCAGAAUCAACUAUUCUUGUACUACAGGGUGAGUUGGCAGCAACAUCUCUUGGUUCAAGAGUUUCAGCAUAGCAAUACUACCUUCUAGCCACAUUUCAGGAAGGAAACUAGGUUAUUGCCACCUGCUCUUAAGAGGCUUGAACACAGGUGUUAACUCCUGAUUGAAAUGAACAAAGAUAGGAGAAGAUUAGGGGAAAAAUCUGUGUCCUUGCUGGAAACCAGGGCAGUGCACAUAUAAAGAGUACGCCGUUCACUGGAUGGGGAGGAAAAAAAAUUAGAAGUGUAGUACUCAAAGCACACAAACAACCCUAACCCAGAGUAGACAUUGCUGGAAAAAAGGGAAGACCAUGUAGCAGCUGUGUGAGAGAACGAAUCUUAAUGAUAACAGCAGGAUCCCUUGCUAGUGCUGCCAUCAAAAAGUACAGGCCUUCCUCAUUUUAUUGCACUUUGUGGAUGUUACGCUUUUUACAAAUUGAAGGUUUGUGGCAACGCUGCAACAAGCAUGUCGGUUGGCAUCAUUUAUCCAACAGUGUGUGUUGACUUCGUGUCUCUGUGUAGCAUUUUGGUUAUUCUCACAAUAUCCCGGAUGUUUUCAUUAUUAUCAUGUCUGUGAUAGUGAUCUGUCAUCAGUGAUCUUUGAUGUUACUAUUGUCAUUGUUUGGGGUCCCUACGAACUGCACCCAUAUAAGACAGAAAACUUAAUCAAUAAAUGUGCGUGCUUUGACUGC
rnacentral:sRNA from 1 species